AUGGAACGUAGCUCAAUUGGCAGAGCGCCGGUCUCCAAAACCGGAGGUUGCAGGUUCGACCCCUGCCGG
rnacentral:tRNA from 1 species